CGGGUAAAAAGUUCUGGUGCUAAGAAGACCGUAGCUAGGAAAAAACCUACCACCAAGUAUAGGUCGUGCCUCAGGACAUUUCUAGAGAUGACCGAUAUACCGACCGAGGUGUUCGGAUUGUACAUAUGGAGGUAGGGAUUUUCGGCUUUGAUUACGACCAAAUGAUUGGUAAUGAAGACUUCAUGCAAGUUUUUGGUCAUGAAGAAAU
rnacentral:lncRNA from 1 species